rnacentral:rRNA from 1 species
CCAAUAGCGUAUAUUAAAGUUGUUGCAGUUAAAAAGCUCGUAGUUGAAUUUUAGGUCUGACCGGACGGUCCGUCUCUGGCGAGUACUGUUCUGUUGUCGGGUCUAUCCUUCUGGUGAGCCGGUAUGCCCUUUAUUGGGUGUGUCGGGGAACCAGGACCAUUACCUUGAAAAAAUUAGAGUGUUUAAAGCGGGCUUUUGCUUGAAUAGAUUAGCAUGGAAUAAUAGAAUAGGACGUUGGUUCUAUUUUGUUGGUCUAGGACCACCGUAAUGAUUAAUAGGGAUAGUUGGGGGCAUUAGUAUUCAAUUGUCAGAGGUGAAAUUCUUGGAUUUAUUGAAGACUAACUACUGCGAAAGCAUUUGCCAAGGAUGUUUUCAUUAAUCAAGAACGAAAGUUAGGGGAUCGAAGACGAUCAGAUACCGUCGUAGUCUUAACCAUAAACUAUGCCGACUAGGAAUCGGGCGACGUUAUUUUCAUGACUCGCUCGGCGCCUUAUG